AUUGAACGCUGGCGGCAUGCCUUACACAUGCAAGUCGAACGGUAACGGGCCUUCGGGUGCCGACGAAUGGCGAACGGGUGAGUAAUACAUCGGAACGUGCCCGAUCGUGGGGGAUAACGAGGCGAAAGCUUUGCUAAUACCGCAUACGAUCUACGGAUGAAAGCAGGGGACCGCAAGGCCUUGCGCGGACGGAGCGGCCGAUGGCAGAUUAGGUAGUUGGUGGGAUAAAGCUUACCAAGCCGACGAUCUGUAGCUGGUCUGAGAGGAUGAUCAGCCACACUGGGACUGAGACACGGCCCAGACUCCUACGGGAGGCAGCAGUGGGGAAUUUUGGACAAUGGGCGCAAGCCUGAUCCAGCCAUGCCGCGUGCAGGAUGAAGGCCUUCGGGUUGUAAACUGCUUUUGUACGGAACGAAAAGCCUUCUUUUAAUACAGGAGGGUCAUGACGGUACCGUAAGAAUAAGCACCGGCUAACUACGUG
rnacentral:rRNA from 1 species